AGGUUAUGGAUGGACAGCAUUAAUGUUGGCAGCCAUGGAGAGGACAUGUGGAAGUGUCUCGACUACUUCUGGAGAACAGAUGUAACAAAGAUAUCACAGAUGUAUGUUAUCUACUAAAUCUGAUCACAUUACUUUUAAUCAAACACAAAAUCAUGUUGUUAAUUAGACAGGUUUAAUGAACAAAUAUUUGUAAUAAUUAUAUAAAGUGGGGUCUCAUUUUACUCAUAGUAUUGUUCUGAAUCAGAAAAUAUAACUUUUUUCAUUUUUCUUUGAAAAAUUUACUUUUAUAAAAUUUAUGAUUUUACUGAAUCUACACUAAAUCCUGUUGUUAAUCAGACAGUUUUAAUUAAUGUGACUAUUUCAUUUUGUUUAUAUUUAUUACACAACAUUGUCCAGUUUAUCAGACAAGUUUUGAUGUCAGUUGUAUUAUUCCAGGUUAGAUGGAUGGACAGCAUUAAUGUUGGCAGCCAGGGAGGACAUGUGGAAGUGUCUCGACUACUUCUGGAGAACAGAUGUAACAAAGAUAUCACAGAUGUAUGUUAUCUACUAAAUCUGAUCACAUUACUUUUAAUCAACACAAAAUCAUGUUGUUAAUUAGACAGGUUUAAUGAACAACAAAUAUUAUUUGUUAGAAUCAUAUAAAGUGGGGUCUCAUUUUACUUGUCUCCUCGUACUAAAUCAGGAAAUGUAACUAUUUUUCAUAUUUCUUUGAAAAAGUUUUUUUUUUUAAAUUGAUCAUUAUUCUGAACCAUGUUAAUCAGACAGAUUUCAUUAUUAUAUCAACAAAUACUUGCUAGAAUUAUAUAAAGUGAGAUCUCAUUUAUCUCUGUGCAUUGCACUGAAUCCCUUGAUAUAAAUAUUUUAUGCAUUUCUUGAAAAAAGGUUAACAUGACAUUUCUGAUGGAAGUUCUGACAUCCCACAAAAAAAACUUGUUGUUUAUUUGUUGUUUAUGUACAAUAUGAAUACAAGUGUGACUGGUCAUUUUGUUCAGUUUUGACCACUGAUUCAUGUGAGAUACAUUUUUUUUUUUAUUUAUUACACAACAUUAUUCCUGUUUAUCAGACAAGUUUUAUAUCAGUUGUAGGAUAUGUUGUAUACUAUUUAUAUUGGUAACAAAGUAGUAUCCAUAAUAUUUACAUGUUAUUUGGUAUUAUUAUAGAGAGAUGGUAAAACAGCUCUACAUCUGGCUGCUGAGUGGAGACGUCUACAUGUCACAAGAUGUCUAGUAGAAGAAGGAGGCAUCAGUCCCUUUGUUAAAACACAUGAGG
rnacentral:lncRNA from 1 species